rnacentral:rRNA from 1 species
GUAAACGAUGUCGACUUGGAGGUUGUGCCCUUGAGGUGUGGCUUCCGGAGCUAACGCGUUAAGUCGACCGCCUGGGGAGUACGGCCGCAAGGUUAAAACUCAAAUGAAUUGACGGGGGCCCGCACAAGCGGUGGAGCAUGUGGUUUAAUUCGAUGCAACGCGAAGAACCUUACCUGGUCUUGACAUCCACGGAAGUUUUCAGAGAUGAGAAUGUGCCUUCGGGAACCGUGAGACAGGUGCUGCAUGGCUGUCGUCAGCUCGUGUUGUGAAAUGUUGGGUUAAGUCCCGCAACGAGCGCAACCCUUAUCCUUUGUUGCCAGCGGUCCGGCCGGGAACUCAAAGGAGACUGCCAGUGAUAAACUGGAGGAAGGUGGGGAUGACGUCAAGUCAUCAUGGCCCUUACGACCAGGGCUACACACGUGCUACAAUGGCGCAUACAAAGAGAAGCGACCUCGCGAGAGCAAGCGGACCUCAUAAAGUGCGUCGUAGUCCGGAUUGGAGUCUGCAACUCGACUCCAUGAAGUCGGAAUCGCUAGUAAUCGUGGAUCAGAAUGCCACGGUGAAUACGUUCCCGGGCCUUGUACACACCGCCCGUCAC